rnacentral:rRNA from 1 species
AGUGAACGCUGGCGGUAGGCCUAACACAUGCAAGUCGAACGGCAGCACAGUAAGAGCUUGCUCUUACGGGUGGCGAGUGGCGGACGGGUGAGGAAUACAUCGGAAUCUACUUUUUCGUGGGGGAUAACGUAGGGAAACUUACGCUAAUACCGCAUACGACCUACGGGUGAAAGCAGGGGAUCUUCGGACCUUGCGCGAUUGAAUGAGCCGAUGUCGGAUUAGCUAGUUGGCGGGGUAAAGGCCCACCAAGGCGACGAUCCGUAGCUGGUCUGAGAGGAUGAUCAGCCACACUGGAACUGAGACACGGUCCAGACUCCUACGGGAGGCAGCAGUGGGGAAUAUUGGACAAUGGGCGCAAGCCUGAUCCAGCCAUACCGCGUGGGUGAAGAAGGCCUUCGGGUUGUAAAGCCCUUUUGUUGGGAAAGAAAUGCAGCAGGUUAAUACCCCGCUGUUCUGACGGUACCCAAAGAAUAAGCACCGGCUAACUUCG